AUUGAACGCUGGCGGCAGGCCUAACACAUGCAAGUCGAACGAGUGGCGGAAGGGUGAGUAAUGUCUGGGAAACUGCCUGAUGGAGGGGGAUAAAUACUGGAAACGGUAGAUAAUACCGCAUAACCUCGGAUGUGCCCAUAUGGGAUUAGCUAGUAGGUGGGGUAACGGCUCACCUAGGCGACGCUCCGUAGCUGGUCUGAGAUGAUGACGAGGCACAGUGGAACAGAGACACGGUCCAGACUCCGAAGGGAGGCAGCAGUGGGGAAUAGUUCACAAUGGGAGAAAGCCGGAGGCAGCCAUGCCGCGUGUAUGAAGAAGGCCUUCGGGUGGUAAAGUACUUUCAGCGGGGAGGCGUUACCCGCAGAAGAAGCACGGGCUAACUCCGUGCCAGCAGCCGCGGUAAUUC
rnacentral:rRNA from 1 species